rnacentral:rRNA from 1 species
GACGGAGGGUGCAAGCGUUGUUCGGAAUUACUGGGCGUAAAGCGCGGGCAGGUGGCUCUUUAAGUCCUUUGUGAAAUUCCGGGGCUCAACUCCGGAUGUGCAUAGGAUACUGGAGAGCUAGAGACUGGUAGAGGCGAGCGGAAUUCCUGGUGUAGCGGUGGAAUGCGUAGAUAUCAGGAAGAACACCGGUGGCGAAGGCGGCAUCCUGGACCAUUACUGACGCUGAGGAGCGAAAGCUAGGGUAGCAAACGGG